GUCAAGCUGUUACCAUGGGACCCAAAGACUUCACCUUUUUUCAUGUUAUUAGACUACCGGGUGUGGCCACAAACCUUCAGUACUGGCGAAGGUAGCUGCAUAACUGGGGAUGACGGGAACGGGAGAAUCAGCUAUGAGAGAUUUCCAGCCAUGAUGGAAACAAUGCUGUCCCGGGCAGUGACAGUGUCUAAGACAGAAAAUGAAAGUGCAGAAACAACUUUUGAAAUUUCCGGGUCAUGUUUGCCACUGCUGAAUUGAAUAAAAAGUCACAAGUCAAGUGCGCUGAGGCCAUCUGGGAGCCCACCAUUCAAGGCCAUAGAUGCAGGUAAGGUGAAAACUUGGGGCCAUUAUUGCAAUUGAUCUACCAUAACUCCCUUUUCAGGGGUUGCUCUAACCACCUGUGAUAUGAAACUGAAGAUGAAGUCUGAGAUGCUGAGUGGUGGAUGAGGGAACAUAGAAUAAGAGUGAUGAGCUGACAUUGCUUCUGGGGAUGACUGGUGGAGGACAGCCUCAAAUGGAACUGAUCACUUCUACCAAAAUGUCUGAUUAACUUGCUUUUCACUGCUUCUCCUCAUAUUUUUCAGUAGUCACACCAAUCAAUCACUGUGUCACUAUAUUACCUAAAGUAUUUGGAGCACAUACUUAAAGAAACUAGUCAUUGAUUCUACUGAUCCCUAAUUUUAUUAUUAUCUCUUAGUCUCUUGUAUAUGAGAUAAAAGUAUUUUGAAAGGGUAAACGUUGGUGAAAACAGUUAGUAGAGGUGAUUUGUGGAGAAGUAUUUUUAUUUUUACCUUCCAAUAGGAUUAUCUCACAGUGUUUGUAAUGUGUAGAAAUACCUGAAAGGCUUUAAUAUGAGUAAAUAAUUUAAAAAGUAAAAAAUGUCAAUAAUAUUUAAAUUUCUUCUCAAUUUGUAAUGUUUAAUGAAUUAUAUGUCAGCAAGGAAUUCUAUACAUUAUGUGUGUGUAUAUAUAUACAUAUAUACACAUGGAAUAAAAUAUAUAGAGAGAAUAAUUGUAUAUAUAAUUAUACAGAAUAUAUUCAGAUUAUAUAUACAAUUGUAUAUAUAUUCUGUAUAAUUAUACAGAUUGAAUCAUAUACAAUCUAAAUAUUUAUACAGAAUAUAUAUACAAAAUAUACAAGGU
ensembl:lncRNA